ensembl:snRNA U6 U6 spliceosomal RNA
GUGCUCACUUCGGCAGCACAUAUACUAAAAUUGGAACGGUACAGAGAAGAUUAGCAUGACCCUUGCGCAAGGAUGACAUGCAAAUUCGUGAAGCGUUCCAUAUUUUU